UUUUUUGAGAGUUUGAUCCUGGCUCAGGAUGAACGCUGGCGGCGUGGAUAAGGCAUGCAAGUCGAGAGGGUUAGACCCUCGGCAAACGGGUUAGUAAUACAUAGGAACGUACCCUCAAGUCGUGAAUAAUCCAGAGAAAUCUGGAAUAAUACACGAUAAUCUCUACGGAGUAAAGAUUUAUCGCUUGAGGAGCGGCCUGUGUCCUAUCAGCUAGUUGGUAAGGUAAUGGCUUACCAAGGCUAUGACGGGUAGGGGGCGUGAGAGCGUGAUCCCCAACAUUGGAACUGAGACACUGUCCAAACACCUACGGGUGGCUGCAGUCGAGAAUAUUCCACAAUGGGCGAAAGCCUGAUGGAGCGACG
rnacentral:ncRNA from 1 species